AUUGAACGCUGGCGGCAGGCCUAACACAUGCAAGUCGAGCGGAUGAAGGGAGCUUGCUCCUGGAUUCAGCGGCGGACGGGUGAGUAAUGCCUAGGAAUCUGCCUGGUAGUGGGGGAUAACGUCCGGAAACGGGCGCUAAUACCGCAUACGUCCUGAGGGAGAAAGUGGGGGAUCUUCGGACCUCACGCUAUCAGAUGAGCCUAGGUCGGAUUAGCUAGUUGGUGGGGUAAAGGCCUACCAAGGCGACGAUCGGUAACUGGUCUGAGAGGAUGAUCGGACAGAAUAGGAAUGAGAGACGGCCCAGACUGCUACGGGAGGGAGGAGGGGGGAAUAGUGGACAAGGGGCGGAAGCCUGAUGCAGCGACGGAGCGUGGGGGAUAACGGCCUUCGGGUGGUAAACAACUUUCGAGCGCGAAGAAGCCACCUGGUUGGAAGGGUGGGGACGGUAGUGGUAGAAGAAGCACCGGCUAACUACGUG
rnacentral:rRNA from 1 species